GCCCGGCGCAGUGGCACGUGCCUGUAGUCCCAGCUACUCGGAAGGCUGGGGUGGGAGGAUUGCUUGAGCCCAGGAAUUCUGAGCUGUGCUACGCCAUGCCGAUCCAGUGUCCACACUAAGUCCAGCAUCAAUAUGGUGACCUCCGGGAGCGGGGGACCACCACCAGAUUGCCUAAGGAGGGGUAAACUGGCCCAGGUCGGAACAGAGCAGGUCAAAACUCCCGUGCUAAUCAGUAGUGGGAUCGCGCCUGUGAAUAGCCACUGCACUCCAGCCUGGGCAACAUAGUGAUACCCUCUCUCU
rnacentral:SRP_RNA from 1 species